rnacentral:rRNA from 1 species
GAUGAACGCUGGCGGCGUGCCUAAUACAUGCAAGUCGAGCGAACAGAUGAGGAGCUUGCUCCUCUGGCGUUAGCGGCGGACGGGUGAGUAACACGUGGAUAACCUACCUAUAAGACUGGGAUAACUUCGGGAAACCGGAGCUAAUACCGGAUAAUAUAUUGAACCGCAUGGUUCAAUAGUGAAAGACGGUUUUGCUGUCACUUAUAGAUGGAUCCGCGCCGCAUUAGCUAGUUGGUAAGGUAACGGCUUACCAAGGCAACGAUGCGUAGCCGACCUGAGAGGGUGAUCGGCCACACUGGAACUGAGACACGGUCCAGACUCCUACGGGAGGCAGCAGUAGGGAAUCUUCCGCAAUGGGCGAAAGCCUGACGGAGCAACGCCGCGUGAGUGAUGAAGGUCUUCGGAUCGUAAAACUCUGUUAUUAGGGAAGAACAGAUGUGUAAGUAACUAUGCACGUCUUGACGGUACCUAAUCAGAAAGCCACGGCUAACUACGUG